rnacentral:rRNA from 1 species
AUUGAACGCUGGCGGCAUGCCUUACACAUGCAAGUCGAACGGCAGCGCGGGAGCAAUCCUGGCGGCGAGUGGCGAACGGGUGAGUAAUAUAUCGGAACGUGCCCAGUAGUGGGGGAUAGCCCGGCGAAAGCCGGAUUAAUACCGCAUACGACCUACGGGUGAAAGGGGGGGAUCGCAAGACCUCUCGCUAUUGGAGCGGCCGAUAUCAGAUUAGGUAGUUGGUGGGGUAAAGGCCUACCAAGCCUGCGAUCUGUAGUUGGUCUGAGAGGACGACCAGCCACACUGGGACUGAGACACGGCCCAGACUCCUACGGGAGGCAGCAGUGGGGAAUUUUGGACAAUGGGCGCAAGCCUGAUCCAGCAAUGCCGCGUGCAGGAAGAAGGCCUUCGGGUUGUAAACUGCUUUUGUCAGGGAAGAAAUCCUCUAGGCUAAUACCUUGGGGGGAUGACGGUACCGUAAGAAUAAGCACCGGCUAACUACGUGCCAGCCGCCGCGGUAAAAC